UGGAAGAUGAAAUUGCAUGACGUAAGUUAUUUGUAUGAGAAAGCUGGAUAAUUGAUUGCACCUGCUAGGUGUACUUUCAGGAGACACUGAAGUGGUCAUUAGCUAAGGUCAACAUGAGUCAGUGAGUUGAUCAAGAUGCACAGGUCAAGGUGCUUGUUCUUUGAAUUCUCAAUCAACAGAAACUUAAGAGUGCACCCCUGCCGAUACGAUCUUGAGCCUACAGGCAACUAGUAGACAGGAACUUAAUCUUUCUACCCUAAACCAUCAGUAUCUGAGACCACACAUCCAGCCACCCAAGAGUUCUUCAAUGCAUGGAUAAAGGACAAAAUAAGAACAGACUGAGAUUGAAGAUUUAGAGACAAACUCAUUUAGAAUAAUCCAAAGAAAGUAUAUUACAUGACUUGAAGAUUGAAAAAAUACUAGAAUGUCUAAGAAAAAGAGAGUCCGAACCAACUGAGUUAUCGCGUAAUAAAUAUGUGAUUCUACUAUCAA